UCGAACGGUAGCACAGAGAGCUUGCUCUCGGGUGACGAGUGGCGGACGGGUGAGUAAUGUCUGGGAAACUGCCUGAUGGAGGGGGAUAACUACUGGAAACGGUAGCUAAUACCGCAUAACGUCGCAAGACCAAAGAGGGGGACCUUCGGGCCUCUUGCCAUCAGAUGUGCCCAGAUGGGAUUAGCUAGUAGGUGGGGUAACGGCUCACCUAGGCGACGAUCCCUAGCUGGUCUGAGAGGAUGACCAGCCACACUGGAACUGAGACACGGUCCAGACUCCUACGGGAGGCAGCAGUGGGGAAUAUUGCACAAUGGGCGCAAGCCUGAUGCAGCCAUGCCGCGUGUAUGAAGAAGGCCUUCGGGUUGUAAAGUACUUUCAGCGGGGAGGAAGGUGUUGUGGU
rnacentral:rRNA from 1 species